AUAUAUGUAGACAGCGAAACACAAACAUAUACAGUGAAGCGCAAUGUGAAAUGCCAAGCAGCCAUAACAAUCCGUCCGCAAAAACACGUAAGGUCAAGAACCACUCAAACAAAAGUGCCAAAUAUGAUAAGUAGAGGUAUAGACUUUCCGUUCCGGCCGUUUUGAUUUUUGUGAAAAAUCCAGCAAUACGAUAAUUUUAUGCUAAGGUACGGAGGUUGAGUUCAUUUCAACAAAAAAUCACAGCACACAGACGACGUCAUGUGAAAUUGAACAUUUUGAGGAUAGCGCUGUAUGGUCUGAUACAGAAAGCACGUCGACGAUGAGCAAUAGCAACAAUGGAUCAGACUCUCAAUGUUCAAAUGAGUUAAGC